UUAGAAGAAACCAAAUAGAGGUAUCUUAAUGUUAAUAAGGAAAGUGGUACUAUACCCUUCUAAA
rnacentral:tRNA from 1 species